GAUGAACGCUAGCUACAGGCUUAAUACAUGCAAGUCGAGGGACCGGCGCACGGGUGAGUAACACGUACCCAACCUGCCCUUUACCCUGGGAUAGCCUUUCGACAGAAAGAUAAAUACUCGAUACAAAGGAUGGGGAUGCGUUCCUUUAGGUUGGUGGCGAGGGAACGGCGAACCAAGACUUCGAUGGAUAGGGGAUCUGGGAGGAAGGUCCACCACAAUGGAGCUGCGGCACAGUCCACACUCCUACGAGACGCAGCAGUGAUGAAGAUUAGUCAAUGGGCGCUAGCCUGACCCAGCCACGUAGCUGGAAGAAUGAAGGCUUAUUGGUCGUAAACUUCUUUUAUAUAAGAAGAUGUAUUAUAUGAAUAAGGAUCGGCUAACUCCGUGCCAGCAGCCGCGGUAAUAC
rnacentral:rRNA from 1 species